rnacentral:rRNA from 1 species
UACGUAGGGGCUAGCGUUAUCCGGAAUUACUGGGCGUAAAGGGUGCGUAGGUGGUUUCUUAAGUCAGAGGUGAAAGGCUACGGCUCAACCGUAGUAAGCCUUUGAAACUGAGAAACUUGAGUGCAGGAGAGGAGAGUAGAAUUCCUAGUGUAGCGGUGAAUGCGUAGAUAUUAGGAGGAAUACCAGUUGCGAAGGCGGCUCUCUGGACUGUAACUGACACUGAGGCACGAAAGCGUGGGAGCAACAGG